rnacentral:misc_RNA from 1 species
UACGGAGGGAGCUAGCGUUGUUCGGAAUUACUGGGCGUAAAGCGCGCGUAGGCGGUUACUCAAGUCGGAGGUGAAAGCCCGGGGCUCAACCCCGGAACUGCCUUUGAAACUAGGUGACUAGAAUCUUGGAGAGGUCAGUGGAAUUCCGAGUGUAGAGGUGAAAUUCGUAGAUAUUCGGAAGAACACCAGUGGCGAAGGCGACUGACUGGACAAGUAUUGACGCUGAUGGACGAAAGCGUGGGUAGCAAACAGG